GUGGCUCAGUGGGUAAGGCACCAGCCUCAUAUGCUGGGGAUGGCGGGUUCAAACCCGCC
rnacentral:tRNA from 1 species